GCCGGGCGUGGUGGCGCGUGCCUGUAGUCCCAGCUACUCGGGAGGCUGAGCUCGCCGGAUCGCUUGAGCCCAGGAGUUCUGGGCUGCAGUGCGCUAUGCCGAGCGGGCGUCCGCGCUAAGGCCGGCAUCAAUAUGGUGAGCCCCGGGGAGCUGGAGCACAGCAGGUUGACUAAGGAGGGGUGAACCGAUAUGGUGAGCCCCGGGGAGCUGGGGCACACCAGGUUGACUAAGGAGGGGUGAACCGGCCCAGGUCGGAGACAGAGCAGAUCAAAGCUCCCGUGCCGGUCAGUAGCGGGAUCGGGCCUGUGAAUGGCCACUGCAGCAGAGCCUGGGCAACACAGAGAGGGGCGUGUUACU
rnacentral:SRP_RNA from 1 species